rnacentral:rRNA from 1 species
UACAGAGGUCCCAAGCGUUGUUCGGAUUCACUGGGCGUAAAGGGUGCGUAGGUGGCCAGGUAAGUUCGGUGUGAAAGCUCGGAGCUUAACUCCGAAAAUGUCAUUGAAUACUAUCUGGCUGGAGGGUCGGAGGGGAGACUGGAAUUCUCGGUGUAGCAGUGAAAUGCGUAGAUAUCGAGAGGAACACCAGUGGCGAAGGCGAGUCUCUGGACGACUCCUGACACUGAGGCACGGAAAGCUAGGGGAGCAAACAGG